rnacentral:tRNA from 1 species
GCUUUGGUGGCCAAGUGGUAAGGCGUCGCACUUGGUUAGUAGCCCCGAUCUAUACCACUCACAUCAUAAAACCCUGUUCUAACAUCUCAAAAAGUAAUGCGAAGACCGUGGGUUCGAAUCCCAUCCGAAGCA